GAGCCGGUGACGGUGGGCGAAUCCCAAAAAUAAACGUCCCAGUUCGGAUUGUAGUCUGCAACCCGACUACAUGAAGCUGGAAUCGCUAGUAAUCGCGGAUCAGAAUGCCGCGGUGAAUACGUUCCCGGGUCUUGUACACACCGCCCGUCACACCAUGGGAGUCGGAAAUGCCCGAAGUCUGUGACCGAACCGAAAGGGAGGAGCAGCCGAAGGCAGGUCGGAUGACUGGGGUGAAGUCGUAACAAGGUACC
rnacentral:rRNA from 1 species